GAUUCUCACUCUUGGAUAUUAUAGUGUUCUUUUAAUUUCAGUCUUUCAUGCAUAAUGCCUUACAAAAAUUUCCUUUUUUAUCUCACAAAUGCAACUAUUAGAGAUAUUAAGUCUCACGGAGCUCUUUAGUGACCUUUUGCUGCAACAACUUGGUAGCAACAGUAACACCGAACCUUCUCUAUGGAGACUGCCAUGUGACUGUCCCUUCAAAGACAUGCUGACUCCUCCUCACUUUCUUCUUACCUGGUUGAUCAGAGGGACCAGCUUGAUACAGAAGUUCGUUUACCAGUUUUGUAAUAACACAGAGCAACUAGAGGAUCAAAACUCCUUGUAUGAGAGAAGAGUCUUUGUGGAUUGGGCUGAAAUUUCUGAGGGGACUCCAUCACUUUUACUAAGAAAUGUGGAUUUCACAGAUGAGGCUAUCUACAAGUGCUCAGCUAUCACACCAAAUAGAAGAGGUGAAAGUAUAAUUAAGCUAAUAGUAGAAGGUAAGGAAAUUUUUUUUUUUAAGGUAAGGGAAUUUAUUAGAUGA
rnacentral:lncRNA from 1 species